UGAAGAAGCACAAUGUAGUUCAUGAUACAAAUGAGUGUUUCAUAGUCAACAAACAUUCAGAUUUCAAAGGUUGUGGUAUUUUCUCCCCCUAUCAGUCUCAUAACAGCAUCACUAUAUGCAGAGUAGUAACUACCAUUGUGUUGGAUGUAAAGGCAACCAAGAUCAUUCCUGUGUUGGAUAAUGUUUUACUGAUUGUGCAGAAUGGAUUCAAUGAGUGUGACGUGUUGCAGGUGACAUGGAGGGUGGCGUGGAGCACCUGAGCACCGCCGUGGCCGUCUGUGGGCAGCCCCAGCAACUGCUGCAGGUCUUACAGCAGACCCUCCCCCCUCAGGUGUUCCAGCUCCUGGUGCAGCGACUCCCGUCAGUCAGUCAGCGUCUGUCUGGCGGUGUGCCCACUGGUGGUCCCGAGGUAUCUACCCUGGAAGAGGAUGACCUUGAGUGACCUAGACGUCUGCUACUGGACAUUCCUGGGUUCACUUGCACAAAGCCAUCAAGACAUUGAUCCCCAUGACGGAUUUGUUAUUGUCCUCACUCCAAGAUUACUUUGUGCAAAUCGGCCCUGGUCAGUGUUUCUUAAGUGAUCACUCCACAACAUUGUGUGUUUGUGUGUGCAAGAACACUUAUGGAAAGAGUUAUCUCCCUUGGAAAAUAUUCAUGAGACUUUUUCAUCCACAGGUAUCGGUCUCAAAAGCUCCCCAAACCUAUGUACUGUACACACCGACAAAAGAAAUGUGAGAAACAUAUAUGUUGGUUACUAUAUGAAGAAUUACUGAUAUUCAAGAGAUAUUAGAUUGGUUUAAUGCACAAACAAACAUACUUAUAUGUUGUGUGAACCGACACUCAACGCAUCACAUGUGACGUCACCUAUCCGUGACUGGAGAUGCACCAUUUGACUCGCGCAGGAUUAGUAUGUUUGGAAAUCUCAUGCAACAUAUUGUGAUAAGAAUAAAGACACUGUGCUAACACUUGACUGAUUCUCAUUAAGUGGUACACAUUGGAAACAUCUUCUCUUAACGUACGUUCUUCUCUAUAUGUUUUAUGUUUCACAUUUCUUUCUGCGGUGAGUAUAUAUGUUGAAAGGGAUUUGUCCCAAUAUAUAUCACAUAGAUAAUAUAUUGUGUUUGGGGUGGUUUUAUUUAAAUGUUUUGGAGAAAGGGAUAUAUUAUUAUUGAAUCAAAUGUCUGGUUUUUUACCUGGCCAUGAAACAAGGUGGCAUUCUUUGCCUGGAUUCUAUUUGAGCGUAUGUAAUUAUAAAACAUCAGUUAAAUCAAUACCAUAUUGUCUUGAGUAUAGUGCGCA